UACGUAGGGUGCGAGCGUUAAUCGGAAUUACUGGGCGUAAAGCGUGCGCAGGCGGCGCGUUAAGUCAGGUGUGAAAUCCCCGGGCUUAACCUGGGAAUUGCGCUUGAAACUAGGUCGCUAGAGUGUGGCAGAGGGGGGUGGAAUUCCACGUGUAGCAGUGAAAUGCGUAGAUAUCUGGAGGAACACCGGUGGCGAAGGCGCAUCCUGGACCGGCAUUGACGCUGAGGCGCGAAAGCCAGGGGAGCAACGGG
rnacentral:rRNA from 1 species